rnacentral:misc_RNA from 1 species
GAUGAAGAACGCAGCGAAAUGCGAUAAGUAAUGUGAAUUGCAGAAUUCAGUGAAUCAUCGAAUCUUUGAACGCACAUUGCGCCCUCUGGUAUUCCGGGGGGCAUGCCUGUUCGAGCGUCAUUAUAACCACUCAAGCUCUCGCUUGGUAUUGGGGUUCGCGGUUCCGCGGCCCCUAAAAUCAGUGGCGGUGCCUGUCGGCUCUACGCGUAGUAAUACUCCUCGCGAUUGAGUCCGGUAGGUCUACUUGCCAGCAACCCCCAAUUUUUACAGGUUGACCUCGGAUCAGGUAGGGAUACCCGCAGAACUUAAGCAUAUCAAUUAGCGGAGGA